rnacentral:rRNA from 1 species
AGAGUUUGAUCCUGGCUCAGGAUGAACGCUAGCGGCAGGCUUAAUACAUGCAAGUCGAGGGGCAGCACGGAUAGCAAUAUCUGGUGGCGACCGGCGCACGGGUGCGUAACGCGUAUGCAACCUACCUUUAACUGAAGAAUAGCCCCGGGAAAUCGGGAUUAAUACUUCAUAACAUUAUGAGAUGGCAUCAUUUUAUAAUUAAAGCUCCGGCGGUUAAAGAUGGGCAUGCGUGACAUUAGUUAGUUGGUGAGGUAACGGCUCACCAAGACUUCGAUGUCUAGGGGUUCUGAGAGGAUUAUCCCCCACACUGGUACUGAGACACGGACCAGACUCCUACGGGAGGCAGCAGUAAGGAAUAAUGGUCAAUGGGCGCAAGCCUGAACCAGCCAUGCCGCGUGCAGGAUGACGGCCCUACGGGUUGUAAACUGCUUUUGUACGGGAAAAAACCUUCGCUCGUGAGCGAAGCUGAUGUACCGUAAGAAUAAGGAUCGGCUAACUCCGUGCCAGCAGCCGCGGUAAUACGGAGGAUCCAAGCGUUAUCCGGAUUUAUUGGGUUUAAAGGGUGCGCAGGCGGAAUAAUAAGUCAGUGGUGAAAGCCUACAGCUUAACUGUAGAACUGCCAUUGAUACUGUUGUUCUUGAGUACAGUUGGAGUGGGCGGAAUGUAUCAUGUAGCGGUGAAAUGCUUAGAUAUGAUACAGAACACCGAUCGCGAAGGCAGCUCACUAAGCUGUAACUGACGCUCAUGCACGAAAGCGUGGGGAUCAAACAGGAUUAGAUACCCUGGUAGUCCACGCUGUAAACGAUGAUUACUCGAUGUUGGCGAUACACAGUCAGCGUCUGAACGAAGUAUUAAGUAAUCCACCUGGGGAGUACGGUCGCAAGAUUGAAACUCAAAGGAAUUGACGGGGGCCCGCACAAGCGGAGGAGCAUGUGGUUUAAUUCGAUGAUACGCGAGGAACCUUACCUGGGCUCGAACGUAGAACGACCUUCACUGAAAGGUGAAUUCCCUUCGGGGCGGUCUACGAGGUGCUGCAUGGUUGUCGUCAGCUCGUGCCGUGAGGUGUCAGGUUAAGUCCUAUAACGAGCGCAACCCCUAUCCUUAGUUGCCAUCAGGUAAUGCUGGGAACUCUAAGGAAACUGCCUACGCAAGUAGUGAGGAAGGUGGGGAUGACGUCAAAUCAGCACGGCCCUUACGUCCAGGGCUACACACGUGCUACAAUGGCCGGAACAGAGGGCAGCUACCUGGUGACAGGAUGCAAAUCUCUAAACCCGGUCUCAGUUCGGAUCGAAGUCUGCAACCCGACUUCGUGAAGUUGGAUUCGCUAGUAAUCGCAUAUCAGCCAUGAUGCGGUGAAUACGUUCCCGGGCCUUGUACACACCGCCC